rnacentral:lncRNA from 1 species
UCUCAACAUCGUAAAAUUCUUGGAUAUCUGCACGAACCCUUGUCUAAAUGAUGAAUCAGUGAUAUACAAAUUGGCUUAAUUAUUUAUUGACUAAUUAAAUAAUCAAACAGAAAUACAUAACACACACACACACACAGGUUGAAUUGAUUACUGACAUAAUGCAUUGAAAAGUCCCUAGUGGACUUACCCGAUAUGAUGGCUUGGUACACAGUGAACAGGGAGGGGCAUGUAAGAAAAAGCAGGAGAAGAGACAAAGUUCAACUUUUAUACAGUUGAAUAAUACGCUCAUCAUAAAUAUGGAUAUUUAGCACCCUAACAACCGCUCAUUCUGAUUUUAGAAAUGCAACGUACAUAUUAAGGAUUGUAUGUCUUUGUCAUCUCGCUCUGUUAACCUCUAUGGGCUAGGUGGGACGCUUGUUAUAUUGUGUGUGUGUGUGUGCGUGCGUGUUUACUCCCUGGAUGAGGAGAUGUAAUCUCAUGUUUUGUCCACAGAAACCAACAGGAGAGAUCAGAGUCAGAGAUUCUCAGUGGUCAGUCUUCCCAGAGUCAUCAAACAGACCUGGACUCUAUAUUCAGUAUUGCCUUACAAACUGACCAGACUGUCUGACCAGCACUGCAUCCUACUGACAGAUAUCUAACCAGCCCAGAGGCUUAUAGAGACAUUAGACUGUCUGACUGAUAUAUAUAACCAGCCCAGAGGCUUAUAGAGACAUUAGACUGUCUGACCUACGCUACCCCCUACUGUGAGAGCCACGUCAGGCAGCACUACGCCGUCCCAGGAAUGCAGACACACACCCUGGUUGAGGUCACUGCAGACAUGGGACACAAAGGCCACCAUGGCAAAGCUGGAAUGACAAAGAGAUAUCAAGAGGAAAGGGAGACUGAGGAGGAGGAGGAAAGGGGGAGCUUCUGUAAAAAGAUGAAGAUGCAAAUUAUUAAAGUGGAAGGAGAUUCUUCUGAGGAGAACUCUAAAGAACCGUUGAGGAGGAUAUAUGAGCUAGAGGGAAAUAACAGAAACAUCUAUAAAGAAUUGAAGAAGGAGAACUCAGAACUAAA